GUUUAAUUCCUUAUAAACCUUUCACCUAAACAGUAACUUCAGAGCUGUAGUCGGGUUUUUGUAAACAGUCACGACAAUGGACCUAUUUGUGCUCCUCACCUUCACAACCCAGUGUGCAACCGAAAGGGGACCAACUGAAAAGGGCCACAGGGAUGCAUCUGUCAAGGGUAUCGAAUGGAAAACUCGAGUGGAGGAAGGAUGUGGGAAGGCAGAGCUUUCUAUACUGAAGCCAAAGAUAAAGGGAUGGUCUCUGAGAUGAGACUGACUGAUAACUACUGGACAUUACUGCUAGCCCACCCAAGCAGAGCUGAUGAUCCCUCCUUUCUUCCACAUCCAUAACCAAUAAAUAAACUAACUGCAUUCACUACACUGUGUCGUCCUCAUUAUUUGUUUGCAAGUCUUAAUCUUGAACUUGACCAUGAGAUCAUUGA
rnacentral:lncRNA from 1 species